rnacentral:rRNA from 1 species
GUGAACGCUCGCGGUAGGCCUAACACAUGCAAGUCGAACGGCAGCACAGUAAGAGCUUGCUCUUACGGGUGGCGAGUGGCGGACGGGUGAGGAAUACAUCGGAAUCUACUUUUUCGUGGGGGAUAACGUAGGGAAACUUACGCUAAUACCGCAUACGACCUACGGGUGAAAGCAGGGGAUCUUCGGACCUUGCGCGAUUGAAUGAGCCGAUGUCGGAUUAGCUAGUUGGCGGGGUAAAGGCCCACCAAGGCGACGAUCCGUAGCUGGUCUGAGAGGAUGAUCAGCCACACUGGAACUGAGACACGGUCCAGACUCCUACGGGAGGCAGCAGUGGGGAAUAUUGGACAAUGGGCGCAAGCCUGAUCCAGCCAUACCGCGUGGGUGAAGAAGGCCUUCGGGUUGUAAAGCCCUUUUGUUGGGAAAGAAAAGCAGCAGGUUAAUACCCCGCUGUUCUGACGGUACCCAAAGAAUAAGCACCGGCUAACUUCGUG